UGCACUCACUACUAUAAAUCACUCUGGAUAAGAGUGUCUGCUAAAUGACUAAAA
rfam:Salmo salar isolate Sally breed double haploid chromosome ssa05, whole genome shotgun sequence.